UACGGGGGGAGCAAGCGUUGUUCGGAUUUACUGGGCGUAAAGGGCGCGUAGGCGGUCGUGACAAGUCACUUGUGAAAUCUCCGGGCUUAACUCGGAACGGUCAAGUGAUACUGUCGGACUAGAGUACAGAAGGGGCAACGGGAAUUCUCGGUGUAGCGGUGAAAUGCGUAGAUAUCGAGAGGAACACCUGCGGCGAAGGCGGGUUGCUGGGCUGAUACUGACGCUGAGGCGCGAAAGCCAGGGGAGCGAACGGG
rnacentral:rRNA from 1 species